CAGCACCAGAUACGAGCCUGACAGUCCAGUGAUGUCUCCUCAUGGCUGCUCGGCUUCAAACGGUGCUAUAACAACAUUCAGCCCUGAGAUUUAAGCUUUUCAGUGGAAAGAAACACUGUUGGGUUAUGGCUCAGAGGCACAGAU
ensembl:scaRNA small Cajal body-specific RNA 1